GUGAGGAAUAUUGGUCAAUGGACGAGAGUCUGAACCAGCCAAGUCGCGUGAAGGAAGACGGUUCUAUGAAUUGUAAACUUCUUUUGUGCAGGAAUAAAGUGGGUUACGUGUAACCUUUUGUAUGUACUGUACGAAUAAGGAUCGGCUAACUCCGUGCCAGCAGCCGCGGUAAUACGGAGGAUCCGAGCGUUAUUCGGAUUUAUUGGGUUUAACGGGUGCGUAGGUGGAUUGAUAAGUCAGCGGUGAAAGUUUGCAGCUUAACUGUAAAAUUGCCGUUGAAACUGUCGGUCUUGAGUGCAAAUGAGGUAGGCGGAAUGUGUUGUGUAGCGGUGAAAUGCUUAGAUAUAACACAGAACUCCGAUUGCGAAGGCAGCUUACUGGGAUGCAACUGACACUGAUGCACGAAAGCGUGGGUAUCAAACAGGAUUAGAAACCCCGGUAGUCC
rnacentral:rRNA from 1 species